rnacentral:rRNA from 1 species
CCUUGAAGGAGUUUUCGGACAACGGAUAGGAAUGCUUAGUGGCGGACUGGUGAGUAACGCGUGAGGAACCUGCCUUUCGGAGGGGGACAACAGUUGGAAACGACUGCUAAUACCGCAUGAUACAUUUGGAUCGCAUGGUCUGAAUGUCAAAGAUUUAUCGCCGAAAGAUGGCCUCGCGUCUGAUUAGCUAGUUGGUGAGGUAAUGGCCCACCAAGGCGACGAUCAGUAGCCGGACUGAGAGGUUGGCCGGCCACAUUGGGACUGAGAUACGGCCCAGACUCCUACGGGAGGCAGCAGUGGGGAAUAUUGGGCAAUGGACGCAAGUCUGACCCAGCAACGCCGCGUGAAGGAAGAAGGCUUUCGGGUUGUAAACUUCUUUUAAGGGGGAAGAGCAGAAGACGGUACCCCUUGAAUAAGCCACGGCUAACUACGUGCCAGCAGCCGCGGUAAUACGUAGGUGGCAAGCGUUGUCCGGAUUUACUGGGUGUAAAGGGCGUGCAGCCGGAGAGGCAAGUCAGAUGUGAAAUCCGCGGGCUCAACCCGCGAACUGCAUUUGAAACUGCUUCCCUUGAGUAUCGGAGAGGUAAUCGGAAUUCCUAGUGUAGCGGUGAAAUGCGUAGAUAUUAUGAAGAACACCAGUGGCGAAGGCGGAUUACUGGACGACAACUGACGGUGAGGCGCGAAAGCGUGGGGAGCAAACAGGAUUAGAUACCCUGGUAGUCCACGCUGUAAACGAUCAAUACUAGGUGUGCGGGGACUGACCCCCUG